GUGAUUUGAUCUGACCGUCUAUUUAAACGCUAUUUUUUAGCAUAAUCAUGAAUUAUUAUUUUUUACAUAUAUUUUAGUUGUUUUCUGCUACACCAUAAUUUUUAGAGUUAUUCUUGAUGAAUUGAGCUAGAAUACUUUUAGAAGCACCACCCCCUUGUGCUUCUAAGUUUUUAGCCCUUGGAUCUAUUCCUUCAUUAUUAAUAACUCUUGGAUCAAACACUAUUCCACCUAUUAUUACCUACCAUACACCACCUACCACCAAUAUUUCAACCCUAAAUUUCUUCACUCAAAGGCUAAAAACUCAAAAGUACCAUCUCUUUGGUGCUUUUUAAAAUUAUUCGAGCUCAACUAUAUUCUUGAUUUAGCAUGCUGGAGAUUAUCUUGAUAAUUGCCAUUUUUAUAACCGCACUAAGAGCCUUUUGGUUAGAUGUAGUUGUAAAUAUAGUAUAUAGUUAAAAAUAUAUGCAGUUAAAAAUACAACAGUUAUAAUUAUAUAUAGUUUCUUUUGUUUUGUGUAGAUGCAACUGUUGCAGUUGCAUUUAUACUGUUUGGUAAUGUGAAACUGAUAAUUGUAUUUGUGAAUCCCGUACGUCAUCUCUUCAGAUAGUGGUGAGAUUAUCCUUACUAUACAUAAAAUAAUUGUAUAAUUCUAUUAAUUAUUUAAACUUACUAUCUAUAAAUAAAUAAGUGCAUAUAUGUAAUGUUUUUAUAUUUUUCAAUAAUCCUUCAAUUUAUCAAUCGACUCAUUUAAAAUUUUCAAUAUAUUUAAUUUUAAUAUGUAAAUCAAACUUCAAAAAUUUAAACAAUUCUAUCAUU
rnacentral:lncRNA from 1 species